rnacentral:rRNA from 1 species
UAAUACGUAGGGGGCAAGCGUUGUCCGGAAUCAUUGGGCGUAAAGAGCGUGUAGGCGGCCCGGUAAGUCCGUUGUAAAAGUCGAAGGCUCAACCUUCGAAAGCCGAUGGAUACUGCCGGGCUAGAGUCCGGAAGAGGCGAGUAGAAUUCCUGGUGUAGCGGUGGAAUGCGCAGAUAUCAGGAGGAAUACCCAUAGCGAAGGCAGCUCGCUGGGACGGUAC